AACGCACAUUGCGCCCCUUGGUAUUCCGAGGGGCAUGCCUGUUCGAGCGUCAUUUCAACCCUCAAGCCUGGCUUGGUGUUGGGGCACUGCCCGUCAUACGGCAGGCCCUGAAAUUCAGUGGCGAGCUCGCCAGGAUCCCGAGCGCAGUAGUUUACACCCUCGCUUAGGAGGUCCUGGCGGUGCCCUGCCGUUAAACCCCCAACUUCUGAAAAUUUGACCUCGGAUCAGGUAGGAAUACCCGCUGAACUUAA
rnacentral:misc_RNA from 1 species